ensembl:lncRNA
AUGGCAAAGUAUUUGGUUGCUAACUUUUGUACAGAUGGCUGCAUAACAUUCACAGAAGGAAUGAUUCUAGGAGCCAGUUUUUCAAAUGUCAUCUUCUACAUAUGUAAGUGCAAAUGGGUCCCUGCAUAUCACUUGUGCAUGCAAAUGCUAGACCUAGCAUUUGCACAUCAAGUGCAGAUCAGCUUCGGGCAUUAUCCUACAGAUGGACAGAUAAGGUGUAAAUUGCAUUUGUUCAAAGCUACAAAUCCCUUUAAAAAGGUGGUCUCCGGGUUUGUCUACUCCCAGCAACUCUGCGCUGCUGAGGUAAACAGAGAUACUCCUACACAUUUUUGUGGAGAGAGCCUUUUCUUCCUCAUGGCCUUUGCAAAUUGCCUGUACCAUUGAAGAGCAGGGGAUGGAAAGCAUUAAGAAAAGAACCCUGAGAGGAACUUCAAGGUGUUAUUCCAAGCUCUCUGGCUGUCUCAGUGUAAUCUAUUGCAAACAAAGCACUGCUGCAAGACAUGAUGACUCUUCAAACUGUCCUGUGAAAGGAGCCAAUGUAAAUGAACACAGUGGGCCAAACUCAAAGGUAUGUUUGAAAUAACCAAGUUUACCCUGUCUCUUUCACAUGUGGCUGUAUAAACUGAGUAUCAAACUCCUUUGAUUACUAGCAAGUAACUUGAAGCUCCUACAUAUCACCUGAAUUCAGCCAAAUCCAUCUAACUGCAUAUAAGGUUCUUUCAUAACACUCCUGCUACCUGUGUUAACAUGUCAAGUAUUGUUCUUUGAAUGGCAGGCACCAGCCACAGUGUUUUUCUUUUUCUUUCUUUCUUUCCUUCCNNNNNNNNNNNNNNNNNNNNNCUCUCUCUCUUUCUCUUCUCUUCUCUUCUCUUCUCUUCUCUUCUCUUCUCUUCUCUUCUCUUCUCUUCUCUUCUCUUCUCUUCUCUUCUCUUCUCUUCUCUCUUUCUCUCUUUUGUUUCCUGCCAGGGCUGCUCAAAGCUAACCUCAGCAGGUGAAAGCAUUCUUCUCUCUUUGAGAUCAUAGUAACACACUUCUGCUGACAGUGAGGCAAACACAGUUUGCUUGCAGGGUGUUUUCUUUUCUACCAUGAUGAGAAAAUGCCAACACUACCAACAUGUUGAAGUACACUCAGAUGGGGCACAAAAUUGCUUGCGUUUGCUUUGCUUUUGUAUGUGCAUUAUUGUUUUGCCAGCAGUGCUACAAGUAACAAGGUACUUGUGGCAGUUCCUGUUUACCCCAUUUUCAAGUAAGCCCUGAUGUUCCUGUAAGACAGUUUUUUUAAUGAGGUGGUUCUGGUCUGCCUUUGAGAAGUGUGGGAAAAGCAUGCGGUAGGAGGCAUUUGUGACCUUCAGCUCCAUAAGGAGCAGAUCUCAGAGACCACUGACGGCAUGAGGCUUCUUGGCACCACAGCCAGGCUCAGCUCUGCCAUGAGCCAUGCCUACUUGUGGGCCACGCUGCCAAUAUAUAUUGUUAUUGUGUAGGUAACCCAAUGAUUCUGCAGGCAGAGGACAGAACAGGAAGAAUCCUUUCUGCUUUGAUCCCAGAUUUCUUGUGGCCCAAAGAAAAAGUGUUUCCCUUAGUUUUUUAAUAGCCUUCUGAAUCAUAGAAUCAUAGAAUUAUUAAGGUUGGAAAAGACCUCCAAGAUCAUCUGGUCCAACCAUCCACCUAGCACUAAUGUCACCCACUAAACCAUGCCCUAAACGCCAGGCCCAACCUUUCCUUAAGCACCCCCAGGGACGGUGACUCCACCAUUUACUCCCUGCAAGAACUGCAAGGACUAAACAAACCUGGUUUUCAUUGACGUUCAACUGCUUAUGUCUACCAUGCAGAGAUGUUUUUUGAGAUGGGUAGAGCCAGCUAUGUGAGCUGAUGGCAUCUUCAAUGGGGAUAAGCAAGUACAUCUGCUAUUCCUACAUGUUGCAUGCCAGCAUAGGCCCAUUCUAUAAUACCUUGUUGUUCCAGAAACCCCUAAAACUAUCAAGGCAAAUAUUCCAACUAAAGCAGCCCUCUCACUGCAGGUACAUCCUCAGCAAGCCCAGAAUUCCCUUCAGGUUAGGGUACUUGCCUAAGCAUUUCCAGGGUAUCAGUAUCAGGUUUCCUUCAGCAAGAUGAUUAAUUAUAUGAGAUGAAAGCAGGGGAAACACUGAAGCGGGAAAGCAAGUGAAGGCAUGCAAAGGUGCAGAUCACAGCAAAUUCACAGUAGGUGCAUAUGCAGAGCCUAAUGGGCAAAGCAAGACUAUGUAUAAUGUAGAGCUAUAACUAGGAAAAAAAUAAAAACAGCAACAACAUCA